AAGUCAACUGAGGUCGCUAAAUCCUGACCCAAUCCCAGGCUAAAACUGAGCUCAGCCUGAUGUUGGGGCACACGCAGUUCUUACAGAAACUUUUCCUAACCUGCAUCUUUCUGCUCCUGUAACCACAAGGCUUUCUAUUCCCCGAUCAAACACCGUGUGAAACUCCUGUGCCCUAUCCUUAUUAAAACAGUCAUGUCUUGUCAUGCUUGGUAACAGCCAUUGUGACUACAUCAACAGGAACUUCCAAACUUCUGGUUUUACCUUUAUAAACUCAGCUUAGCGUGACCCCAGGCUUGUCUCCAUGAGGGCCUGCGAAAGGCUCAGUCUGUGAGGCUCGUCCUGGUCUCCUUCUCUUGAUGAGAACAGCCCAGCUACAGCAGUGCCACUGGGGAAAGUGUCAAGUGCCCCCAUGUCCCAGUGGUUUCAAGGUGCUUGCAGGAGUCAGCUUUCCCUGAAACCUCAGUCAGUGUGCUAAUGAAGCAGGGCCUAUGGAGGCUGUAGGAGGCGGGUAGCAGAGAAAGGAAAAGAGAACCUAUGUCUCCUGCCUCUCCCCUCUGUCAUCUGUCCUGAGGUGGUUCAGUGGACAGCUGGUCACUAGGGCACAAGCUCCUGUUUUCCAGCCCUAGCUAGAACAUCCCUGUGCAGGCAAGGUAGUGUUUUCCUUCGUGCUUAUUCAUCCAGAGUCCUUUGUAAGAUCUGCAAAGUGGACAGGUUAGAGAGAGAACAAAGAAACUCAUUAGCAGGCGCAUUGUGCACCCACAGAGGAGUACUCAGACCUGGGCUCAUGGGCCCAAGAAGUCCACCCACCCUCCCCUGAGAAUAUACGCAUAGCUUGAGCCUCUUCUGCCGCUCAGCACCUACCGUCCGUCCAGCUUGCCUCAGUCUCAGGACACAAGUCAGGAUUAAAUCGUAGGGUUUAAAGUCGGAGGGAGCAGGAAUUAGGUCAAAUGCAGGGUCUCUCUGAUACCUGUGAAAUUGUCUGAUGGGGGAAGCCAGUGUUGGCUACUCUCUCUGAACUGCCUCCAUCAUCCUGGCCUGUGAUAUUUAGUUUUUAUGUCAGCUUUACACAAGCUAUAGUCUUUCUAAAGGAGGAAAUUUCAGUUGAGUCAAUGUCUCUAGAGAAUCCAUCGGCAGGCAAGCCCGAAGAGCAUUUUCUUAAUUAGUGAUCAUUAAGGGGAGGACCCUGCCCCUUGUGGGUGGUGCUAUCCCUGGGCUGGUGGUCCUGGCUUCUGUAAGAAAGCAGGCUGAACAAGGCAAGGGGAGCGAGGCAGUAAGAGCAGCCUCCAGGCCCCUGGAUCAGCUCCUGCCUCUAGUUCCUGUCUGACUUCUUUUACUGGUGGACUAUGAUGUGAAAGUGUAAGUUAAGUUAACCCUUUCCUCCCUGUCUUUGUUUGGUUGUGGUGUUCAUCAUAGCAGUAGUAACUCUGUCUAAGACGGGGCCUCAAGAAAGCGGGUCCUGGGAUGACAUAGCCCAGCUAGCAGAGGCUUGAUGACCAGAGGUUUUUUUGUUUAUAUUGUUGUUAUUAACUUAUUUUCUUUUUAUUUAACAUUUUUAUUCAUUUUACAUCCCAGUCACAGCACCUGUCCCUCCUCUCUUCCCAGUCCCACCCUUCCCACAUUGCCCCCACCCCUAUUCCUCAGAGAAGGGGGCCUACCUUAAGUACCAUGCCACCCUGGGGCAUCUGGUCCUAGGAGGGUCCAGGCACAUUCUUUCCUACUGAAUCUGGACAGUCUUGUGGAAGAGUGGGGAUAGAACUGAGCAACUCAGAGGGGUCAAGGGCACCACAGAGUCAACUAACCUGGGACCAUGGGGCUCAGAGAAGCUACGCUACCAACCAGGGAACAUGCAGGAGCUGGAACAGGUCCCCUACAUGUCUCUAGGUGACCAGAGUUUAAUCCCAGAUCAUACAAGGUGCCCGGAGACUCUCUCAAGAGUUGUCACCUGAUUUCCACUUGCACAUGCACGCUAUGGCUCAGAUGCACCUGCACACACACACACACACACACGAGUCUUAGGGUUUCCUAACUAAGUGUGAAGAGACACUAUGACCAAGGCAACUCUUACAAGGACAACAUUGAAUUAGGGCUACCUUACAGAUUCUAAGGUUCAACCCAUUUAUCAUCAUGGCAGGAAGCAUGACAGUAUCUGAGCAGGCAUGUUCCAGGAGAGCUAAGAGUUCUACAUCUUGAUCCAAAGGCAGUCAAGAGCAGUAUGUCUUCCAGGUAGCUAGGAGGAGAGUCUCAAAGCCCACCCCCUAAUAAGGCCAUACUACAUCAGCCUCCCUGAUGAGCCAUGAUGGCCCAGGCUCUGGACAGCAUCUCACAAGCACCUUGGUGGCAUUUUCUUGUUGUGUUUCCAACCUUGCUCACCCUGGGCUUCAUUUUGUGGGUUAGAACAGGAUUUCAUUACGUUUCCUAGGAUUCAACCCCCAGGCUCAGAUAAUUCUCCCACCUUAACCUCACUAGCAGGAACCACGGGUAAAUGCCACUGCAUCUGCUCAGUCACCCACACAUCUCUUGGGACAUAUGAUGGCCCCUCUGGCUGCCAUGAUCCUGCCUCCAAAAGUGCUGGCAUAUAAACGCCCCAUUUUGGCAAUUUCCAGUUCAUCAAAACAUUCUUCAUGUUUGUGUGCUGCCUCCGAGGACAAGUGGGUACUUUGGGACUCUGAUUCUGGGGAACUGGACUUGUGCCCCAGUGUUGGGUCCUGUGAUGGUAACCAUAUGCGGUGCUUGAUUUACUGUGUCUCAAUUAGGGUUUUACUGCUGUGAACAGACACCAUGACCUUAUAAGGCAACUCUUAUAAGGACAACAUUUAAUUGGAUCUGGCUUAGAGGUUCAGAGGUUCAGUCCAUUAUCAUCAAGGUGAGAACAUGGCAGCAUCCAGGCAGGAAUGGUGCAGGAGGAGCUGAGAGUUCUACAUCUUCAUCUGAAGGCUGCUAGCAGAAUACUGACUUCCAGGCAGCUAGGAUGAGGGUGUUAAAGCCCAUACCCACAGUGACAUACCUCCUCCAACAGGGCCACACUAUAAUAGUGCCACUCCCUGGGCCAAACAUAUACAAACCAUCACACUCUGCGUAGGUUAUUUCAUGCCUGUUAUAUAGAGGCCGGAAGAAUGACCAUAUCAGAGUGUCAGGCUUCUCUCUGUCUCACUGUGAAACCUGAACAAUUUUUAUGGAGCCAGACACGAAUGAUUCUUGGGGACUGUGUAGUAUGGUGGUCACACUGCUUGCAGUGUUAUUUGAAGCUUUGCCUCUACUCUUCACCAGUCAUGUGACUUGGACCAGACAUAGACGCUCCUUAAGGUUCUUAAGUACAUGUAGGUAUGUGGCUGCAAGUGACAACAGGGUAACACUCGCAUAUGUAAGUGACUGUUUUACAGUGAGUGAGCAAUGAGGUGUGUGUGUUUGGGUUGAAUGUGUGCAUACAUUUGUAUCAGUUCACUGUCACGGAGAAAACUUGGUCCCAGAGCCCAUUAACCUGAUUUUUUUCCCUUUAGGAAUGACUCGAAUGCAUAACACCCAUGUCUUUCUCAAUAGAAGAGACUUAGCUUUCAGGCUACUGUUGUGUUUCCUCUUUACGCUGGGGACCCAGCUCUGUGGGUUCCCUGAAGCCAAUGCAGGGAAGCACCUCCCGAGAACUUCCCAGCAUCAGAGCCGUAUGUUGUGUAUCAGGGUUGUCGCUCCUCAAUAGGCAUAUCAGGGUUGUCAUUCCUCAAUAGGCAUCGUUACAAUCCGCACCCACCUGGUUCUCCUUGCAGAGAUGUGUAAUUAGGAGCUUUCA
rnacentral:lncRNA from 1 species